AUAAAUAAGAUUACGUGUAAUCUGUUGCAUGUACCACAUGAAUAAGGACCGGCUAAUUCCGUGCCAGCAGCCGCGGUAAUACGGAAGGUCCGGGCGUUAUCCGGAUUUAUUGGGUUUAAAGGGAGCGUAGGCGGUCUGUUAAGCGUGUUGUGAAAUGUAACGGCUCAACCGUUGACUUGCAGCGCGAACUGGCAGUCUUGAGUGCGCAGGAAGUAGGCGGAAUUCGUGGUGUAGCGGUGAAAUGCUUAGAUAUCACGAAGAACUCCGAUUGCGAAGGCAGCUUACUGUAGCGUAACUGACGCUGAAGCUCGAAAGUGCGGGUAUCGAACAGGAUUAGAUACCCUGGUAGUCCGCACGGUAAACGAUGGAUGCCCGCUGUUCGUUCAUUUAGGAUGAGUGGCCAAGCGAAAGCAUUAAGCAUCCCACCUGGGGAGUACGCCGGCAACGGUGAAACUCAAAGGAAUUGACGGGGGCCCGCACAAGCGGAGGAACAUGUGGUUUAAUUCGAUGAUACGCGAGGAACCUUACCCGGGCUUGAACUGCAGGAGAACGAUUCAGAGAUGAAGAGGCCCUUCGGGGCUCCUGUGGAGGUGCUGCAUGGUUGUCGUCAGCUCGUGCCGUGAGGUGUCGGCUUAAGUGCCAUAACGAGCGCAACCCUUGUCCUCAGUUGCCAUCAGGUGAUGCUGGGCACUCUGUGGAUACUGCCACCGCAAGGUGUGAGGAAGGUGGGGAUGACGUCAAAUCAGCACGGCCCCUACGUCCGGGGCUACACACGUGUUACAAUGGCAGGUACAGAGAGAUGGUGUUCUGCAAAGCGCAUCUAAUCCUUAAAGCCUGUCUCAGUUCGGACUGGGGUCUGCAACCCGACCCCACGAAGCUGGAUUCGCUAGUAAU
rnacentral:rRNA from 1 species